rnacentral:rRNA from 1 species
AAAUUGAAGAGUUUGAUCAUGGCUCAGAUUGAACGCUGGCGGCAGGCCUAACACAUGCAAGUCGAACGGUAACAGGAAGCAGCUUGCUGCUUCGCUGACGAGUGGCGGACGGGUGAGUAAUGUCUGGGAAACUGCCUGAUGGAGGGGGAUAACUACUGGAAACGGUGGCUAAUACCGCAUAACGUCGCAAGACCAAAGAGGGGGACCUUCGGGCCUCUUGCCAUCAGAUGUGCCCAGAUGGGAUUAGCUAGUUGGUGAGGUAACGGCUCACCAAGGCGACGAUCC